AUUAUUUUUUUUUUUUUUUUUUUUUUUUUAAUUUUUUAAUUUUUUAAUUUUUUUAAUUUUUUUAUUUUUUUAAUUUUUGAAUUUUCUUCACAAGUCAAAUCCUUGGACAUUUUUUUAAAUGCCCAUUUUAUAAAUUAAAAAAAAGCUGGUUUAGUUAUUUUAUGUACAUCGUUUAUAUAUUUACACAUAUAUAUAUUUUUAUUACAUUAACAAUAUUAAUAAUUUUACAUAAAGAUUAAGUAAACACAGUGACUUUUGUGAAGUAUUUUUGUGAAUAUAAAUACAUAUGUAUAUAGUAAUGUAUAUGCUUAUAUUAUAUAUAUAUGUACAGAUUCGAAAUUUAUAUUUAACAGUUUAUUUAUGUUCAUUCUCUGUUUUGCUUGUUUAUUUUUAAUUUACAAAAACUAUAAAAUAGUUCCUUUUUACUUUUUUUUUUUUUUUUUUUUUUUUUAACAUUGCUAAAAAAAAAUUAAAUAUCUUCAGACAUAGCAUAUAAAUAAAUAUAUUCCAAACACAUAAGACGUGUGCCUUUUAUUUUAUUUUUUAUUUUUAAUGUAUGCUCAUGCAAUCAUUUGACAUAGUAUGGAAAAAAGAAGGAUAACAUUAAAUAAUAUUAAUAAACAUGUAGAAACAGAAAUAAAUACAUUCACUGGAGCAGGUAUAGAACAAAUUAUUGUUGAAAACAGUGAAGCUUGUAUUUUGUAUGACAAUAAUAUUAUUAAUGCUGAUGAAAUUUUGAAACGCCUAAACGAUUUAAAUCUUUAUGGUUUUUUUAAAAAAGAUAAAAAAAAUAUAAAUGUAAAUAAAAAUAAUGUUCAUAACUUUAACAGUACUAAUAAUGAAGAACAUGUGAUUAAAUUUACGUUUGUUUGUACAAUGGAAAAUUAUGAUCAUAUAAUCGACCAUAACAAUAUUAAUAAUAGUAAUGGUAAUGUUGAUAUAAAUGGGAACGUAAAAAAAGAAUGUACAAUACAAGUAAAUGAUAAUAAUAUACUAACAGGAAAUGGUCACGUAGGAGUAGAAAAAGUAAAUAAAAAUUUAGAACAGUUUGAGAGUAGUAUGGAAAAUGUAAAUUAUAUAAAAAAUAAGUUGGAAAACGGGUAUUGCAACAAAAACCAAUCGAAUAAAAACGAAGUAAAUAAAAACCAAGCAAAUAAAUAUGCUGAAAAAAAUUACAUAAAAAAUGGAAAACAACAAAUAUAUGACAAAGUUAAUUCGGAAAAUUAUAAAAAUGAAACAUGUUGUAAUAAUAAAGAAGAAAGGGAAAAGACAUAUAAUUUAAUAAAUGAAAAAAAAAGUAACAAAAAAAGAGAAGAAAGUAGAAAAAUAAAAAAAAAAAAAAAUAGUUAUACAAAUGUAAACGAAAAGGAAGAUGUAUAUUCAUCGGAGCAUUGUUCAGGUUUCAUUGAAAAAAAUAAUUACAAGGUCGAAAAAAAAGAUAUAACUAAUAUGAAAACAAAAGAAAUGAAAGAAGAUAUAAAAUCAUAUAAAGAAAAAAAAGAAAAAGACCAAUCACUCAGUUUUCUUAAAUUUUUUAAUAAUAUAACAAAUCGAAAGAAAAAAAAUGAAAAUGAUUCUAUGUAUCAAUAUUUGGAUGACACAGAAGAAAAAAAAAACGAUUUAUCAUAUAACAAUAAUAUUAAUAACAAUAAUAUUAAUAACAAUAAUAUUAAUAACAAUAAUAUUAAUAACAAUGGUAAUGAUAAUCAGUUAAACAGUACGCACGAAUCAUGGUAUAAUAAGAAACAAAAAAUGAAUAAUAAUACAAUACCUUUUAGUAACAAUAUUUUGAAUAAUAAUAAUUAUAAACAAGAAAAACACCUUCCGUUUUUUGAUUACGAAAAAUAUAAACAAGAAGAAGAUAAUAAGUACAUUACUGAAUUGAGAAUAUACGAUAUGACUUGUAAUAGCUGUGGUAAUAAAAUUAUAAAUUUUUUAAAAAAUAAGGAACUAAUCAUUGAAGGUAAUAGUUUUGCUGCUGAAAAUAAAAUAAAACUAAAAAUAAAUAUGAUAGAAAAAAAAAAAAAAGAAUUAUAUAUGCAUAGUAAUAAUAAUGUUAAAUAUUAUGUAAAUCAGAUAAUGCAAGAAAUAAAAGAUAUUGGAUUUAAUGUAGAUUUGAUAGAUUUAUAUAAAGACGAUAGUAAUGAUAAUAAAAAUAAUAACAUAAAUAAAAGUAAUAUUUUUGAUGUAACAUUAUACGUUUUUAGAGAUGAUGUAAUAAAAGCUUAUGAAUUUUUAAAAAAUGUAAACGGAAUACAUAAUGUAGAAUACGACAUUAAACAAGAAUAUAUUUAUAUUUUGUAUGAUCCUGAUAUAAUAGGAAUAAGACAUAUAUUAGAAAAAUUAAAAAAAGAAAAAAAUAUUGAUGCAUAUUAUGAUGAAGAUAAAGAAAAUUAUUUUCGAAGUACUAAACAAAACGAAAUAAAUAAUUCAAAAAAAAUAAUUGGAUUAAUAUCUUGUUUUAUUCUGAGUAUUUUUAUUAUUAUAUUAAAUAAUUAUAAAAUGAGUAUGGGUCUGAAUUAUAAUACAACUUUUUAUUCUUAUGGCAAUUACAAAAAUUAUAUCAUGGCAUUUAAUUUGUUUAAAAAUAAUAAUUAUAUUAACAAAUAUAAAUAUCUUAAUGAUCUUAAAAGUGACAAUAAUUUUUUUUAUAAAAAUGAUAAAUUUAGGACUGUAAAAUGGGAAGAUUCAUAUACCAGCAGUAACACAAAUAAAUCCACAACGUUUGAGAUAAAUAGUGACAUUGAUGACAGUGAUAGAAACGUUAAUAUUGGUACUGCAAAUUUGGAUACAUAUAAAUAUAGUGCUUAUACAAAUGGUAACAUAGAAACAAUGAAUUGGAAUAAAAAAGAAGGUGACAAUAAGGGCGACAAAAAUGUUCAUAAUAAGGAUGAUAAAAAGGAUGAUAAAAAAAAAGGUGAUAAAAAGGAUGACAACAAAGAUGAUAAAAAGGAUGGUAUAAAGGGUAACACAAAAGAUGAUAAACAUGAUAAUACUAAUAAAAAUAAAAAUAAAAAUAAAGAUGAUAACCAUGACAAUAAGGAUAACAUACAAGAUGAUAAAAAGGAUGAUAAACAGCUUAAUAAAAAGGAUGGUAUAAAGGAUGAUAAAAAACAUGACAAAAAGGAUAACACAAAAGAUGACAUAAAAGAUGAUACUGAUAAAAAUAAAAAUAAAGACGAUAAAAAACAUGAUAAGAACGAUAACAUACAGGAUGAUAAUAAAGAUGACAAACAGGAUGGUAAAACAGAU
ensembl:lncRNA